UACAGAGGUCUCGAGCGUUGUUCGGAUUCAUUGGGCGUAAAGGGUGCGUAGGUGGCGCUGUAAGUCGGGUGUGAAAUCCUGAGGCUUAACCUCGGAACUGCAUUCGAUACUGCGGCGCUUGAGGACUGGAGAGGAGACUGGAAUUCAUGGUGUAGCAGUGAAAUGCGUAGAGAUCAUGAGGAAGACCGGUGGCGAAGGCGGGUCUCUGGGCCGUAACUGACGCUGAGGAGCGAAAGCAUGGGGAGCGAACAGGG
rnacentral:rRNA from 1 species